UCUCCCCCAGCACUUCUGACAUCUCUACUGUGCAGUGCUGAAUGAAGGCUGUGACUGUUUUUGCUGUUUCCCCACCUAUUGAUUACCUGUUACUGAAAAGAUGAGAAAACAGAACGUUGAACUCACCGAAAGGGAUUUCGGAAAUAACUGCAAUUUGCACGGUGUCCAGCAGAUGCUGCUGUUGGACAAAGAAAACCAAACGGCUCAAGCGAAGCCAACAGGAGACUCUUACAAAGCUGGAUGUUAGUUAAGGUGCCGAGAGGGCAGCCCUGCCCCAGCCUCUCUGACCAGCCAAGCCUGGAGUGCCCGCACAGCAGCCCUGUGUCCUCUGUGCCCCCAGUCGUCAUCCACUGUGGUCACUGCCGCAUGCACGAUGGAGCUCAUGAGUUGUUCCUUCCUUCUUCCUGUUGAAGAGAGACCUGGCGUGUGGGGACCCUGCCUCCCUCUGCUGCUGGACUACAAGGAGGAAGGACCUCAUCUCCUGCCCCGGGCACUCACCAUGCCAUCGGAGCAGUUGGAGCGAGGGCUGGAGGCAUCUGACUCUCCGCUGUAGUGCUCCAGCACCGGGUAGUACGCAUCCUCCUGCUCGCGCAGCAGGGCCUGUAGGCUCUCGAUGUAGCGGAUGGCGUUGCGCAGGAUCUCCACCUUGGGCAGGCGUUGGUUGGGGUUGGUGGAGGUG